UACGUAGGGUGCAAGCGUUAAUCGGAAUUACUGGGCGUAAAGCGUGCGCAGGCGGUUGUGCAAGACAGCUGUGAAAUCCCCGGGCUCAACCUGGGAAUUGCAUUUGUGACUGUACGGCUAGAGUGUGUCAGAGGGGGGUAGAAUUCCACGUGUAGCAGUGAAAUGCGUAGAGAUGUGGAGGAAGACCGAUGGCGAAGGCAGCCCCCUGGGAUAACACUGACGCUCAUGCACGAAAGCGUGGGGAGCAAACAGG
rnacentral:rRNA from 1 species